rnacentral:rRNA from 1 species
UACGAAGGGGGCUAGCGUUGCUCGGAAUCACUGGGCGUAAAGCGCACGUAGGCGGAUCUUUAAGUCAGGGGUGAAAUCCCAAGGCUCAACCUUGGAACUGCCUUUGAUACUGGGGAUCUCGAGUCCGGAAGAGGUUGGUGGAACUGCGAGUGUAGAGGUGAAAUUCGUAGAUAUUCGCAAGAACACCAGUGGCGAAGGCGGCCCCCUGGUUGGAUACUGACGCUGAUACGCGAAAGCGUGGGGAGCAAACAGG